UCAUGCCCCAGAUUACAGUGAAAACCCCGGAAUUGAGGUAGUUUACAUUUUUUGUAUUUAGAAAGCGACCAGAGGAAGCUCUUGUAAAUACUUAAAAAUGUUACUAACGCAAUGGGAGUUGCAACGGAAAGCUGGAUUAGGC
rnacentral:misc_RNA from 1 species